rnacentral:rRNA from 1 species
UACAGAGGGUGCAAGCGUUGUUCGGAAUUAUUGGGCGUAAAGGGAGUGUAGGCUGCUUGUUAAGUCUUCUGUGAAAUCUACGGGCUCAGCCUGUAAAGUGCAGAGGAAACUGGCGAGCUUGAGUGUCGGAGAGGAUAGGGGAAUACCCGGUGUAGAGGUGAAAUUCGUAGAGAUCGGGUGGAACACCAGUGGCGAAGGCGCCUAUCUGGCUGACAACUGACGCUGAGACUCGAAAGCAUGGGGAGCAAACAGG